GUUUGCUGCUCUCCAUCUCUCUGCUAUACUAAGAACUGACUCGCCCUCCAAUUCUUCUUCAAGGUACUGCUUCCUGUAAAUUGUAAUUGAUCUGACGGCAGUCGCUAAAGGAAGCAAGAGCCGGUUGCUUAGUGGCUGUGGGUUACCGCCUACCACUCUUACGGAGGGUCUCCUGGAAGCUGGAAGAGCGGAGGUGGUAUAUUGGGCCUCCUGCCAGUCUUGCCUCUAAUUGUCUUAUCAUUUGUAAAAUGGGAAUAAUAAUAGCUACCAUAUACGUUCAGUGUGAAUACUAAAAUACUUCGUGUAAAUAAAAACACAUUGUGAUCUGAAAGGUGUAAACAAACAUCGGAUAACAUUACAAAUAUAAAGCAUAUAGUAAAUAUUUA